rnacentral:rRNA from 1 species
GACGAACGCUGGCGGCGUGCUUAACACAUGCAAGUCGAGCGAUGAAGUUCCUUCGGGAAUGGAUUAGCGGCGGACGGGUGAGUAACACGUGGGUAACCUGCCUCAUAGAGGGGAAUAGCCUUCCGAAAGGAAGAUUAAUACCGCAUAAGAUUGUAGUAUCGCAUGAUACAGCAAUUAAAGGAGUAAUCCGCUAUGAGAUGGACCCGCGUCGCAUUAGCUAGUUGGUGAGGUAACGGCUCACCAAGGCGACGAUGCGUAGCCGACCUGAGAGGGUGAUCGGGAAGAUUGGGACUGAGACACGGCCCAGACUCCUACGGGAGGCAGCAGUGGGGAAUAUUGCACAAUGGGGGAAACCCUGAUGCAGCAACGCCGCGGGAGUGAUGACGGUCUUCGGAUUGUAAAACUCUGUCUUCAGGGACGAUAAUGACGGUACCUGAGGAGGAAGCCACGGCUAACUACGUGCCAGCAGCCGCCGUAACAC